UCGAAUGCGCGGAUGGCCGCUCCUGUCCACCUGGGCAGGGGAGGAAAGUCCGAGCACCUCUGGACCGCGGUGGUGGGUAACGCCCACCGUCCCGGCUGGCGACGGCCGGGAUCGGGACAGUGCCACAGAAAAUAUACCGCCCCUCGACAAGCUCGGGACGGGCCCCUCGAAGCAUAGGCAAAGGGCCUGCCCGUGGAAGCGAAGGUAGCGGGCACGCCCUGACAUUGUUGAAGGGCCUGCCCCGAGCCUGUCGAGGGGUAAGGGUGAAAAGGUGCGGUAAGAGCGCACCGCGGCUGGCGUGAGUCGGCCGGCACGGCAAACCCCACCGGGUGCAAGGCCAAGCAGCGACACAUGAGCAGGUCCAGGCUCGUCGCGGGUAGGCCGCUUCCCGAGCGAUCGGGAGAGCCCGUCUGCAAAGGCGGGUCCAGAUAAAUGGCCUUCGCUGUCGGAUCGGCCCGGCCCGGCCGGCCCGACAGAACAGAACUCGGCUUAUAGCGCAUUCGAAUGG
rnacentral:RNase_P_RNA from 1 species